AUUGAACGCUGGCGGCAUGCUUUACACAUGCAAGUCGAACGGUAACAGGUUAAGCUGACGAGUGGCGAACGGGUGAGUAAUGCAUCGGAACGUGCCCGAUCGUGGGGGACAACGCAGCGAAAGCUGCGCUAAUACCGCAUACGAUCUGAGGAUGAAAGCGGGGGACCGUAAGGCCUCGCGCGAUCGGAGCGGCCGAUGUCAGAUUAGGUAGUUGGUGGGGUAAAGGCUCACCAAGCCAACGAUCUGUAGCUGGUCUGAGAGGACGACCAGCCACACUGGGACUGAGACACGGCCCAGACUCCUACGGGAGGCAGCAGUGGGGAAUUUUGGACAAUGGGCGAAAGCCUGAUCCAGCAAUGCCGCGUGCAGGAAGAAGGCCUUCGGGUUGUAAACUGCUUUUGUACGGAGCGAAAAGGCUCUCUCUAAUACAGGGGGCUCAUGACGGUACCGUAAGAAUAAGCACCGACUAACUACGUGCCAGCCGCCGCGGUAAAAC
rnacentral:rRNA from 1 species